rnacentral:rRNA from 1 species
AUUGAACGCUGGCGGCAUGCCUUACACAUGCAAGUCGAACGGUAACAGGUCUUCGGAUGCUGACGAGUGGCGAACGGGUGAGUAAUACAUCGGAACGUGCCUAGUAGUGGGGGAUAACUACUCGAAAGAGUGGCUAAUACCGCAUGAGAUCUACGGAUGAAAGCAGGGGAUCGUAAGACCUUGUGCUACUAGAGCGGCCGAUGGCAGAUUAAGUAGUUGGUGGGAUAAAAGCUUACCAAGCCGACGAUCUGUAGCUGGUCUGAGAGGACGAUCAGCCACACUGGGACUGAGACACGGCCCAGACUCCUACGGGAGGCAGCAGUGGGGAAUUUUGGACAAUGGGCGCAAGCCUGAUCCAGCAAUGCCGCGUGCAGGAUGAAGGCCUUCGGGUUGUAAACUGCUUUUGUACGGAACGAAAAGCCCUGGGUUAAUACCCUGGGGUCAUGACGGUACCGUAAGAAUAAGCACCGGCUAACUACGUGCCAGCAGCCGCCGUAAUAC